rnacentral:ncRNA from 1 species
GAAUAAACAGAAAGUGAUAAAGUAUAGUUAUUAAGUGGUCGCCUAAACUAUAUGGAGCUAGUGGCGAAACCUCUCUAAUUAAUU